rnacentral:misc_RNA from 1 species
CUGAUAUGAAUCCGUUACCUUCAGUGCUGGCUUCGGCAAGUGCACGUUGGUGACCUUCAUCCAAUACCCUUGUGAACCUUUGGCCUCUUACUGGCUUCGGCUGGCAGAGGAUUUUUACACACUAACUCGAAUGUAAUGAAAAUACUGUUGUGCACAAGCACUUAUGUAA